rnacentral:rRNA from 1 species
UAGUCCACGCCGUAAACGAUGUCUACUAGCCGUUGGGACUCUUGAAGUCUUAGUGGCGCAGUUAACGCACUAAGUAGACCGCCUGGGGAGUACGGCCGCAAGGUUAAAACUCAAAUGAAUUGACGGGGGCCCGCACAAGCGGUGGAGCAUGUGGUUUAAUUCGACGCAACGCGAAGAACCUUACCUGGCCUUGACAUGUUGGGAACUUUCCAGAGAUGGAUUGGUGCCUUCGGGAACCCAAACACAGGUGCUGCAUGGCCGUCGUCAGCUCGUGUCGUGAGAUGUUGGGUUAAGUCCCGUAACGAGCGCAACCCUUAUCCCUAGUUGCCAGCACAUCAUGGUGGGAACUCUAGGGAGACUGCCGGUGACAAACCGGAGGAAGGUGGGGAUGACGUCAGGUCAUCAUGGCCCUUACGGCCAGGGCUACACACGUGCUACAAUGGCGCGCACAGAGGGCUGCAAACCCGCGAGGGGGAGCCAAUCUCACAAAACGCGUCGUAGUCCGGAUCGCAGU